rnacentral:lncRNA from 1 species
GGGCAUUUCCAACGCUGUGAAUAGAAAGAGAUUUUUACCCUUCUCUCUCCCCAUAUCUGUCUGUUUCGACCAAGCGAAUAAAGCCGGUGGCUGCUGCUCUACUAUAUAAGUACCGUGCGUGAGGAAAGGAUCUCGCGUGGUAAAGCAUCUCGACGCUCAAUAGCCGUAGUUGACUAUAGACCUUCACGAGUUACUUGUCAUCACCCGGAAAUCACAAAUCUUUACCAAGUGCCAGAGAUUGGUUUGGAACUUUCUUGAAGCAUCAAGCCUGGCAUCCCAAAGCCAGCGUAGUCCAGGCGAACUCAAUAAUCCGAUUUUCAAAACUGUGCCCAGCCAGCCUAUCCCAGAUCGGGCACUUAUCAACGAUCGACGUGACAUGAGUCAAAAGACAAGGCUUCUAGUUCCAAGCGCUUGCCCUCAUGCCUGGUAAGGUCCUCCAAGGAAGAGGCACGAGCUAAUCUUUUACUGGAUGAAGGCCGGGGCGGUAUAAAGGAUAGGCUAGUCCAGCUAGAUUCUCUCAAGCUAAAAGGGUAGUUUACCCGCAUUGGCAUUUGUAACAAAAAGAAAGACUUUGAAACCAGUUAAGACUUCAAUGAUUUAUUUCUAUAUACAAAAAAGUAGGUGAUAAAUAAAAAGAAAGACUUACAGUAUGAACUGUAAGAAAGGUUUAAACUAUUGAUUUAUCCCGCCUAAAGAAAGAAAUUAUAACACGAGGAAGAAAGCCUACGGACAGCCUAAUCUUCAUCUCUAGAGGUUUGGAAGGAGAUGUCUAUGCAGUGACUGGAGUUCAAGAAGGAAGGACAUUCUAUUAAAGUAAAAGGAAGGGAAGGACGUUCUGGGGCGGAGGACGUCAUGUACAGUAUCACAACAAUGAAAAGUAGUAAACAAGCAACAACAUCAUCCAUUGCAUUAAUAAUAUAAUUUUAAUACAAGUGUGUUCUGUCAAAAUAUAAUAGACACUAAAGUAUACUCAAAAUGAAAGAUGAGUCUUGAACGAGCACCAUGUUCUCUGAACCUUGCAUCGGUACCUAUCUAUGGUUGACCUGAGGAUACAAGUUAUUUUGAAAGAGAGUAUCAACUUUAAAGCUGGUGAGAUCAUAAGUAUUUUAGUGUCUUAAUUUGUAUGUAAGUAUUUGUAUGUAUAUGAACUCUAAGUAUUGAAUUGUUUUGAACAUCCUAGAAAGCCCUAUGCUUCCUACUAAGAGUAGCUUUCUACCAUGGCAUCUAUGUAAAAGUAUAUGAACGUAUGCCUUUGCUACCCAAAGGUACUGAACUGACUGAAAGGAACUAUUAUGUCCAUAUAUGUACACAUGAUAUAUAUCUAAUAUUUAAACAACCUUCCGACGGAUACCUGAUAUCCCACCAGACCACAUCUCAAGCGCGAAAAGGAAAUAGGGCAGAUAGUCUUCCUAAGUCCUUUAAACAUUACUUAUAUAACUAUACAUAUAUAGACAUGCUUAUAACAGUGUCUCUAUGUAAACGUAUCUAUGUAAAUGUACUCGUGUAAAUGUAAUCAUGUAAACGUACUCAUGUAAAUGAAAUCAUGUAAACAUAUCUAUGUAAUAGUAUAGUAAUGUACUGAAAUGUUCUGUGUGUGCUAGCUGUAACGUGUGUUCUCUCUCUAUCUAGCAAGUAUUGACUCAUGAAUGAACUGACUCAUUAUAUGAUAUCGUGUUCUAGUAUCUUCCUGAACUAUCCCUAUGGUAGCUUACUAGUAAUAUAACUGGUACGUAUGGACAUAGACGUAUACCCUUACUACCCAAGGGUAUCGAAUGAGCUAGAAGAACCUUUAUGACUAUAUAUGUACACAUGAUAUAUAACUAAUAUUUAAACGACCUUCGGACGGGUACCCGAUAUCCCACCAGACCACAUCUCAAGCGCGAAAAGGAAAUAGGGUGGAUAGCCCUCCUAUGUCCUUUAAAGAUUUCUUAUAUAACUAUACAUAUAUAAUCAUGCAAUUGACAAUAUAAAAGCAUUAAAUAAGUUUUGUAAAAUCUUUUGAACAUGAUUUCUAUCUAAGAAAAGAUCGACUUGAUGUCAAUCUAUAAAAUGGGUUGAAAGCAUGGGUUUGAUAAAACAAUUUAAGUAUAAAGAAACAUUUGUUUGAAACACAAUUGUAAAUGAGUUUGAAAUGAAACAUACAGAGUAUAAUGAACAGUUUAAUAAGGAGUUUUAAACAUAUAAAAUGUUUAUGAAAAUCAUUUGAAGGAAACCGUUUGGUAAAACGGCUAAUGAGUAGUAAAUCAUUUGAAUGUUGCUUAUUAAUCACAUGUGAUUGAUAUAAUAACUAGCAUGAUUCUACUUGUAUUCACCCCCCAUAAAACAUUUAAAAACAUUUAAAACAUUGAUUAAGGGGUAUGAACUCACCUGUUGUGAGUGGUACGGAUGAACUGAAGAGGUAGGAUGGCUAGGUGUCAAGUGAAGUCUUGAAGACACUCUAUGAUCCUAGUUAACAUAUAAUAUCACAUAUAUGUAAACCCUUGAGUUUACGGUCGUAAGCUCCUAAGCCUUAUGUUAUUUGGUGUUUUGAAGUUAUAAGUAUUCCCUAGAAGCAUUCCUACUUGGUGGUUUAGUCCUUUGAAGAGAUUAGGGCACCUUUCAACUCCUUUGAGGAGUUCAUGGCCAUAGGAUCGUUUCCCUUAGAGAUUACGGCCAUAAUCUCUCACGGGGAUGGGUUUUUAGUGAUUCCAAGUCCCUAAAUUAACUAGGAACUAAUCUAAGCUAGUGUCCAAGACUUUUGGAGGUUGUAAAGCACCUUUUGGACCUUGAGUUUGGAGUUCACGGUCCAAUAACUUAUUGGGCCGUGAACACCUUACUCUUGGUGUUUUUGGGUGAUUUCUAGUCCUAUACACACUAAGAUACAAGCCUAAUGUACUUUCAUUGCAUAAGGAAAGGACUAGGGCAUCAUUUGACCCCUAAAGAAGGGUUUACGGUCCAAGAACUUCUUGGGCCGUAAACUCUUAAAUCUAGAUGUUUCCUUGUGAUUUCUAGUGUUUUAAGCACAUAAGAAGCUUUACAAUACCACUAGAUAGAAGUACUCACUUUCCGGGACGAAAGUCCGAAGAUCCUUGAGAGAGAAUUCGGCUUUUCUCUAGCUGGAAAUGUAACUAAUGAAUAAAUAUGGCUCAGAAUCCUAUAUAUACUCCUGGGAUUUUUGGCAGAAAAUAUUUUAUUCAUGCAAUGAACUCUAAUAUCAUAGAGUUUUGAAAUAACAGAGUUGCACAAAACCCAAGUGCAUCCUCUCUCCUGAUAUCUCCUUAAGAGUAAACCUGAAAUACUCAAACUUAUACUAAAAGUCUGGAAAUUUACUGAAACUGUUCUAAUCUUCUACCGACUUGAUAUGGUUUGUACAGAAUGGAAAUUUUAGGUUGUCACAUCAUCCCCUUGUUAGAGGGAAUUUCGUCCCGAAAUUAGAAUUUAGGUAAGGAAGUAGGUACGAAUGAUCGAGUCGUGAGGUGGAAACUUCCUACUCGAUUGGUUCUCGCACUCAUAAGUGAAUUCGGGUCCUCGGUUGGUAUCCCAACGAACCUUCACUAAUGGGAGACGGCGUUGCUUCGUCUGCUUGACCUCUCGGUCGAGGGUCACUACAGUUCUAAAACGAAGGUGUGGAUCUCGUCGAGUGGACUUACAAGAGUCCUAACGGAAAGGUACGGUUUCAAGAUCGAGACGCGAAGGGUAAAAUGUACGUUAUUGAGUUCGUGGAGUAGGGCUAGUUUGUGAGAUACAGGACCGAUUCUGGUAAGAAUCUCGGAGGUCAUAACGAUCUUGGAUUUAGCUUUUCAUACUUUACGAAGCGUAUUAAGCCAUUCCCAGAGUGACACUUCCUAAAGAAUUUGGUCUCUCACUUGGAAUUCCAAAGGUUCCUUCUCUUGCUUAUCUUCCCAGUUAAGGCCCACCCCCGUGCUGGGUGAAAGUCGUAAGGGUUUCUGUGAUUUGCGAGGAGUUCUGGAUGAACUAUAACAGUAGGUCUAUAAGACCUAGAAUUUGGCGAAUUUCUGUUGGCGUCUCUGGUGUCGACAAAUUCUCAACGGUUUUGAUAAAUUGACAGAGUACUCAAGAAUUUCCACAUCACUAAUAGUGUGUCUUAGGAAAUAUUGACUCUUCAAUUCCAAAACUCGUGUCAGAGAACUAUGCGAAAAGUAUCUCCGAGGGUAAUGUUUCCAUGGGUUCCUUCUUACUACGAGGGUAGAUAGGUAAGUCAUUACAUGGAGAAAUGACGAACUGAUCCGAGUAAGAAAGACGUACCCUACUCAUUUAGCUCAUGAAUACUAUGGGCGUAUUGGUCUUAUCCGAAGGUUAUCACCACGGACUCGAAGUGUCCGCAUUGAGUUCGGAAGGUAGUCUUCAGGAAAUCCUUCCCUAACCCUCGAACUGGUGGUAUUCGGAUCCCAGAUCCAUUUCUGAAAUAAAUUCUUUCUUUGCGUUUGCUCAACCAAUUCAUCUAUGCGAGGCAGGGACAACGAUUUCUAAUGAAAAAUCAUGACGGAGUCCUUGAUAGCCGAGGUACAUACGAUGCAAUUCUUCGACCUCUGGAAGUAUAAGACCGGCGUUCUCCGGGGUGAGAACCCUAGUCUUCUAAUUCUAUUUAUGUGUAGUUCCCUAAGUUGUUCGGGUUGUUCUUGUAUCUCCAUAGGUGUUUAGACUGAAGGGUAAUCUGUUUACAGAAGUCGUACUGGGUUCUAAGUUUGUUCACAUGCCAAUGCGAUUACUCGUAGUCUUGGGCAGUCUUCGUCCUGAAGUUCAUAUUAGACUUCAAACUUGGUUUCACAAUCACAAUCUCGUGUAUACGACUCGUAUAUAAUUAAGAUUGAAAAGGUAGUCGAAUAACUAAUUCUUCUUUAAUCUCACAUCCCAUCGAGGAAAAAGAAGUUAAAUUGGAAUCAUCAAUUCUAAACCUAUAGAUCCUUGAUUAUAUAUCACCCUUAUGUAUACAUUCUUCAGUGAUAGAUCAACCGUAUGAAUCUUUGGAUUGAACUUGACGUACUGUACGAGUGGCACUUCGGGGAUGUUUGCUGAGUUUUCUUCAGAAAGGACAAGAGACGUGAGGUACUCUUUGCGUGAGUACUUCCGAGUUCUGAAAUGGUGGCUUCGCUAACACGACGUUUACUGAAAAAGAGAUGUACGUACGAAGCUGAUUGUUUUUGGAUGACGACAUGAUUCUGUUAACACGAAAGAUAAGGAUUUUGUGAGUGAUUCUAGUUGACCCUAGAUGUACUUCGAUUGUUCAAGUAAAGAGUAAGACUAUGUUCUCGAAAGUGUGACCUACAUUCCUAUGAUGCAUUCCUAGUACGGAUUGGAAGUAUGUUCGCGAAGGUUUUACCUACAUCCCUAUGAUGCAGUCCUAGUAUUGAGUGGAAGUGAGUUCGUAAAAUGGUCUCAAGACGUUUUUCGUUCAAGCCGAGGCAUCGUUGGUUGGUGAAUAACAUGGUCCAACCACCGAAAGAGACUUGGAAAUGUCUCCGGAGUGAAAUUGCUAUAGUCCAAUGACUUGACUAAAGCAUGUUUCAGAUAGACUCCAAUGAAACUAUGAUAAGAGUACUUGAAUAAAGAAUGACACAGAAGUUAGCCGACUGUCAAUAUCUUUGAUAUUCAUUACGUAAGAGUUCGGGAGAAUGACCUUGCAAAGGUCUUACAUCAUAUCCAAAGAAGAUAGUUCUUGACAGCAUAAAGACCUAACCAAAAGUACUUACAGUACAAAAUAGUUUCAUAGAAAAUGCCACAUCGGGCAUAGAUAGAAAAAAAAACGAUUCCCUUUUAACAAGGAAAAUAAAGUAAAGCAUCUACUACUGGUGACGGUCAUCCCUCUGGUGAACUCUCAGUUCAGCCAGUUGACGUUCCACAUCAAGUAGGUGUCUUUUGUACACCCUCUGGCAUACGCGGAGUUCUAUGAGUUCGGCUCGUGAUUCAGCUAGUGCUUCCAGCAGGGUUUCAUGGUUUCUCUCAGAUCUCUCGCGAGCAUCUUCUAGACGAAUGGUGCGGAGGGUAUGCAUUCUCGCAUCGGCGACAACUUCUGUGAUCUGAUGUAGGGUUGUCUAGCCUUGAAUCUCAUUUUGGGCCACUCUGCGAACCAAAAUUUGCAAGAUUUUUUCUGUUGAGCCCCCAUUGCUCAGGUCAUAAAAGCCUCGGUCACCAUUAUAUGGCAUGGCUGAUCUUGUCCUUGGCUCCAUGUUUCCAUGCAUUCCACCCACUCAGGCGUCGGGCCAUGAAAAGUCGGACGAGGGUUAGGAAUUGGAACGGGAGCUGCCUGGGGUAGGUUCUCAACCUCGGGUUCGGAGUUAGCAUCGUCCGAAAGGUCUUCAUCAUGGUGAUCAUUCAAAGGGAUAGGAUGAUCAUUCUCUGGUUCUUCUCCAAACCAACCAGCAAUGGCUUCGUUCGGAAGAUACUGGUUGCCGUGGGGAUGGAGUCCAGCCAUGUUAUCUACGCAAGAAUUGGGUAAGAAAGUAAUUAAUAAACGAACUAUCUAGAUAAUUAUUUAGAAAAUCUUCAUUAGUUACAUCGCUAUUUGUGAAGUACAUACCAGUUAUAUGUAAUUGAAACAGGAUAGGCCUUCGAAUAAGUGACCUUAACUCCAAAUUCACACAGAAUAGGGGUGAAGUAAAAUUUUCACAGAUUCUAAGUCUAUAACAUCCUAAUUACAUAUAGCCUUAGUGUAUCCACUUAGCAACUAUCAACUUAGUAAUGAAGAUCCCGUUUUAGUUCUCAAGUAUAAAGUACUUAUAGUAACACCAAAUACUCCUAUAGUAUUUUAAGUUUAAUGUUAUGUUCUACUGUUCUCAUUGUGGUAUUGUUGGUAAGAUUUUAGACUUGUUGCAACCACACAACUAGACUUAGGCACAUGCUAGUCAACCCUCAGAUAAUAUAGUUGAUCGGGCUAUAUCUUCCCAGUCUUGACUAUAUGUCUCUACGCCCACUUGUGUUGCCCAACAAUCGCAAUUCUUUUGUACUGUCCUAGUGACACUGAUUUUAGUAUGAAUGCAGGCACGUAUACUAAAUUAAAUAUUUUACUAUUUAAAGUAUAAACUUUUGGUCAGAGUAUUUUUAAUCCCUAUCUAUUGAUAGUUAGUAUAUCUUUUAUGGGUUGAUAUACUUAAUUCACUAUAAAUAAUGCUCUGAUACCAAUCUGUCACACCCCAAAACCAUGAACGGCGGAAACGUUCUGGGGCGGAGGACGUCAUGUACAGUAUCACAACAAUGAAAAGUAGUAAACAAGCAACAACAUCAUCCAUUGCAUUAAUAAUAUAAUUAUUAUACAAGUGUGUUCUGUCAAAUUAUAAUAGACACUAAAGCAUUAAUCAAAAUGAAAGAUGAGUCUUGAACGAGCACCAUCUUCUCUGAACCUUGCAUCGGUACCUGUCUAUGGUUGACCUUAGGAUACAAGUUAUUUUGAAAGAGAGUAUCAGCUUUAAAGUUGGUGAGAUCAUAAGUAUUUUAGUGUCUUAAUUUGUAUGUAAGUAUUUGUAUGUAUAUGAACUGUAAGUAUUAAACUGUUUUGAACAUCCUAGAAAGCCAUAUGCUUCCUACUGAGAGUGGCCUUAUACCAAGGCAUCUAGUAUCUAUCUGUGUCUCCUAUAAGAGCAUGUAUCUUCCCAAUCUUGACUAUCAUUAACCAAAAAUAUAAUUUCU